CACAUUAGCAGGAGAAAAUUUUCCAGAACAUCACAGGAUUUUAAAAGUAUAAUUACGUUUUGAUCUGUCAAUAAUAAGCUGCAGGUUAAUGAUUUUUCAGUUCACAUUUAGUCAGUCUCUAUAUACGUGUACAGUAUAUACAUAGAUAAGUACAAC